rnacentral:lncRNA from 1 species
AGCCCCUGCAUUUAACCAGGCUGAUUAGAAAUGCUUUUCAGACAACGUGCUUGCUAUCAAAAUUAUCAUGGAUGAAAACUAUCAUAACCUUGUUUCCUUCCCCCUAGGUCCUGGAGUCAAAUGCCAUCGUCAGGCUUUCCAGGUUUCCAAAUAACCAAAGAAGACUGUGAAUGGGGGUGCCAAGAAUCGGGGAAAUGAAUGAACUUUCUGAAGUGUGACUACCAUAUGAUCUAAUCCUAUUUGGUUGAAAACUAUUUCUAUAGGCCAACUACAGUAACUUACAUAAUAAAACUAACAGCUUUCUCAUCCAGGCUGCUUCAAGAACCAACCUUAUUAUGAAUGUCAUAUGCUCCACCAAAUCUCAAUUGGUUUCCUGUAUGUUUAUAUUUGUCUUAAGAUCACCUCAACUAGGCUGUACAAACUUAUACUCUCCUGGAACUUGUUCCUCCUUCUGUUAUAAAAUUACACAAAAACUAUAUUUUCUGGCACUUUGAGGAAGAACUUAGCCGAAACCUUCCAAUAAGCCUGAACCUUAAACUGUGUAUGAGUCAGGGUAAGAAUUCUAAUGGAGGCUUUUGAAUCCCUUGUCCCAGAAGUUAAAUGUCAUAAAUCAAGCCUAUCUAUUACCUACAUACAUUCUCAUAGAGAGUCCUUAAAAUUGUUCCCUCGGACUACUGUUCUAAUCCAGAGGCAUAAGCCUACCUGCUAUCUGCUGGAAUAUCCUUUGGCCCACCGUCUGAGUGUUGGCAGAUGUUGACUAUAGUAGGGCAGAACCUGGGCCUGCUCCCAGGAAUCCUGGGUAAGCACUGUAUCUUUCUGAAUGCAAGAUACAGUUGUUCCUGUCAAACUACCCACAGGGGCAGGGCUGUUUCUAAGUCUUUCUUUAAUAACUUUGCCUUUCUAUGCAAUUAUAAGUGUUUUCCAAAUUUAUUUACUCCAAAGAACAAAACUGUACAGUUAUUUGAGGAAGAUGGUCUGUGGAGACCUCCACUUUGGAAGGUUUGUAGGUGCAUGAUUGUUUUUUUUUUUUUUUUUUUUAAGCAACUUCUUGUCCGUUUCCCACAGGGGAAACAUGCCUUGUACUUCACCAGUUGUGAUAUGCAGGGCACUCUCAAUCCUUUCUGUUCAGUAUUUUCUACAGAGCAACCAAAUCAACUUUCCCUGGGAGACUGAUAGAAAUGUGCUGUUGCAGAUGGGCCCUAACAAGAUCCCCAGGUGAUUUGUAUUCACAUCCAAAUUUGGGAAACUGCUCUAAAGGCAGAGCACAACCUACAGAAGGGCUUCCACAGCUGGAGUCUAAAUGCAGUACCCACUUCCACUCCACUAUUCUCUCACAUACCACAUAUAAAUUAUUCACAAAUGGGAAAAAAUAUUCAUUUCGCUCCACUCACAGAACAUGUAUGUAUGAGGCAUGGAAACCCCAAGGCAUACUCCCUGCAUAUGGUUCACUUAUUAAACAUUAAAAGAACAUUGAAAGAA